GUGAAUCAUCAAAUUUUUGAACGCACAUUGCGCUCUCUGGUAUUCCGGAGAGUAUGCCUGUUCGAGGAUCAGUUUAAAUAAAAAUCGGUGUGGUUGCUGCGUUUCGUGGUGACGCACCGGAUUUGGGUCGUAUUGCCUUCGGUUAAGUGACCUAGAAUUCUGCAUGAUUUUUUUCGAACGUAUUUAAAUGAUUUUACGUACGUUUACGAUAUCGAGUACUAGGUGUGGUCUUC
rnacentral:misc_RNA from 1 species